AAUGGACAGAAAUCAGAAUUAUUGCAACCCGGCAUUGUAAUGGGAUGUUCAUUAUGUAGUACUUGGAUGAAGUACUUGCUUGAUGGAUUUGCUGGACAACUAUGCAAGACAAGCAUGUUGUUGCCAGCAAAAGGCGCUAUAGUGCUGCCCCACCAAUUUCUACCGUGGGGAGGCCUUGGAGGAAGUUCCAAAGGUUGUUCCCUUUGUAUUUUCUGGAAUUCUGAUUGUUCAAGGAAAAGACCAAGCAGACAUGUAAAAGGAACUACAGUCUCUGCAUGUGCAAACCUUAGUCUUGCCUUUUCAUAACUUCCAGGAGCAAGUUGUUCUUCCUGUGCCUUAAUAGCUUCCUCCAUGGAAUGAACAACAUCUUCAAGCAGUGGCACUCCCAUUUGAUAGUUUAUUGAUUUACCAUAACCCUUCAAUAUAAACACCUCUAAGUCAUCUGUCCACUCCAGCAAAGCCACCUCAGAAGGACUGAAGAGACCACAAGCUUGAUCUGUUAUAUCCAACAAGGAUGCUUCCUGUUUACAGAGAAACCAGAGAGAAGCAGUGUCCUGUCUUGUAAAAUUAAGCUCGUAACGGCUCACUAUUGCAGCUGUAAUUUCAUCUAAAAUAGGUUCCUUAAGCUUAUCGACACCUGGCUCUUGGCUUUUCCUAAAAUCCUUGUAGCUUUCACAACAAUCAUAAAACCUAAGCACUAUAUCACUUGCACGGCUUUCACUGCUGA
rnacentral:misc_RNA from 1 species